rnacentral:rRNA from 1 species
GGACGAACGCUGGCGGCGUGCCUAACACAUGCAAGUCGAGCGAUGAAAUCCUCGGGAUGGAUUAGCGGCGGACGGGUGAGUAACACGUGGGUAACCUGCCUCAAAGAGGGGGAAUAGCCUUCCGAAAGGAAGAUUAAUACCGCAUAAUAUGUUUUUGGUCGCAUGACCGAGACAUCAAAGGAGUCUUCUUCGUGAGAAGAAGCAUCCGCUUUGAGAUGGACCCGCGGCGCAUUAGCUAGUUGGUGAGGUAACGGCUCACCAAGGCGACGAUGCGUAGCCGACCUGAGAGGGUGAUCGGCCACAUUGGAACUGAGACACGGUCCAGACUCCUACGGGAGGCAGCAGUGGGGAAUAUUGCGCAAUGGGGGAAACCCUGACGCAAGCAACGCCGCGUGAAUGAUGAAGGCCUUCGGGUUGUAAAGUUCUGUCUUCUGGGACGAUAAUGACGGUACCAGAGGAGGAAGCCACGGCUAACUACGUGCCAGCCGCAGC